rnacentral:rRNA from 1 species
UACGGGGGGGGUAAGCGUUGUUCGGAAUUACUGGGCGUAAAGGGCUCGUAGGCGGCCAACUAAGUCAGACGUGAAAUCCCUCAGCUUAACUGGGGAACUGCGUCUGAUACUGGUUGGCUUGAGGACAGGAGAGGAACGCGGAAUUCCAGGUGUAGCGGUGAAAUGCGUAGAUAUCUGGAGGAACACCGGUGGCGAAGGCGGCGUUCUGGACUGUUUCUGACACUGAGGAACGAAAGCCAGGGGAGCAAACGGG